ACACAUGCAAGUCGAACGGAAAGGCCCCAGCUUGCUGGGGUACUCGAGUGGCGAACGGGUGAGUAACACGUGGGUGAUCUGCCCUGCACUCUGGGAUAAGCCUGGGAAACUGGGUCUAAUACCGGAUAGGACCGUGCUUUAGUGUGUGCGGUGGAAAGUUUUUCGGUGCAGGAUGAGCCCGCGGCCUAUCAGCUUGUUGGUGGGGUAAUGGCCUACCAAGGCGGCGACGGGUAGCCGGCCUGAGAGGGUGUACGGCCACAUUGGGACUGAGACACGGCCCAGACUCCUACGGGAGGCAGCAGUGGGGAAUAUUGCACAAUGGGCGCAAGCCUGAUGCAGCGACGCCGCGUGGGGGAUGACGGCCUUCGGGUUGUAAACCCCUUUCGGCAGGGACGAAGCUUUUGUGACGGUACCUGCAUAAGAAGCACCGGCUAACUACGUGCCAGCAGCCGCGGUAAUACGUAGGGUGCGAGCGUUGUCCGGAAUUACUGGGCGUAAAGAGCUCGUAGGUGGUUUGUCGCGUCGUCUGUGAAAUCCCGGGGCUUAACUCCGGGCGUGCAGGCGAUACGGGCAUAACUUGAGUGCUGUAGGGGAGACUGGAAUUCCUGGUGUAGCGGUGAAAUGCGCAGAUAUCAGGAGGAACACCGAUGGCGAAGGCAGGUCUCUGGGCAGUAACUGACGCUGAGGAGCGAAAGCAUGGGUAGCGAACAGGAUUAGAUACCCU
rnacentral:rRNA from 1 species